rnacentral:lncRNA from 1 species
GCAUCACAAAGCUGUUACAUGAAAUGCAUUGUAGCAUGCUAUUAACCCAAGGAGAUAAGAAGUGGGACUGAACUUGGAAUGCACUUUGGUGUGUUCCUGAUGGUGUAAUUAUUCAUACUGGGAAUAAAGGACCUAUGGCAUAUCAGGGUAGAAAACUAUUGAUGUACUGGUAUCUAGGUCUCUAAGUCAUUAAUUGCUUUGGAAAUAUGGAUUUGGGAAAAUGAAUUCAACUGAACCCACCUUGCUUUGGA